rnacentral:rRNA from 1 species
UACGAAGGGGGCUAGCGUUGCUCGGAAUUACUGGGCGUAAAGGGAGCGUAGGCGGACAGUUAAGUCAGUGGUGAAAGCCCAGGGCUCAACCCUGGAAUUGCCUUUGAUACUGAUUGUCUUGAGUAUGGGAGAGGUAUGCGGAACUCCGAGUGUAGAGGUGAAAUUCGUAGAUAUUCGGAAGAACACCAGUGGCGAAAGGCGGCAUACUGGCCCAUUACUGACGCUGAGGCUCGAAAGCGUGGGGGAGCAAACAGGG